ACAGAGGAGCUUGCUCCUUGGGUGACGAGCGGCGGACGGGUGAGUAAAGUCUGGGGAUCUGCCUGAUGGAGGGGGAUAACUACUGGAAACGGUAGCUAAUACCGCAUGACGUCUUCGGACCAAAGUGGGGGACCUUCGGGCCUCACGCCAUGAGAUGAACCCAGAUGGGAUUAGCUGGUAGGUGAGGUAACGGCUCACCUAGGCGACGAUCCCUAGCUGGUCUGAGAGGAUGACCAGCCACACUGGAACUGAGACACGGUCCAGACUCCUACGGGAGGCAGCAGUGGGGAAUAUUGCACAAUGGGGGAAACCCUGAUGCAGCCAUGCCGCGUGUGUGAAGAAGGCCUUCGGGUUGUAAAGCACUUUCAGCGGGGAGGAAGGCAAUAAACUUAAUAAGUUUGUUGAUUGACGUUACCCGCAGAAGAAGCACCGGCUAACUCCGUGCCAGCAGCCGCGGUAAUACGGAGGGUGCAAGCGUUAAUCGGAAUGACUGGGCGUAAAGCGCACGCAGGCGGUCUGUUAAGUUGGAUGUGAAAUCCCCGGGCUCAACCCGGGAACAGCAUUCAAAACUGACAGGCUAGAGUCUCGUAGAGGGGGGUAGAAUUCCAGGUGUAGCGGUGAAAUGCGUAGAGAUCUGGAGGAAUACCGGUGGCGAAGGCGGCCCCCUGGACGAAGACUGACGCUCAGGUGCGAAAGCGUGGGGAGCAAACAGGAUUAGAUACCCUGGUAGUCCACGCCGUAAACGAUGUCGACUUGGAGGCUGUGGUCUUGAACCGUGGCUUCCGGAGCUAACGCGUUAAGUCGACCGCCUGGGGAGUACGGCCGCAAGGUUAAAACUCAAAUGAAUUGACGGGGGCCCGCACAAGCGGUGGAGCAUGUGGUUUAAUUCGAUGCAACGCGAAGAACCUUACCUACUCUUGACAUCCAGAGAAGACUGUAGAGAUACGGUUGUGCCUUCGGGAGCUCUGAGACAGGUGCUGCAUGGCUGUCGUCAGCUCGUGUUGUGAAAUGUUGGGUUAAGUCCCGCAACGAGCGCAACCCUUAUCCUUUGUUGCCAGCGAUACGGUCGGGAACUCAAAGGAGACUGCCGGUGAUAAACCGGAGGAAGGUGGGGAUGACGUCAAGUCAUCAUGGCCCUUACGAGUAGGGCUACACACGUGCUACAAUGGCGCAUACAAAGAGAAGCGAGCCUGCGAGGGUGAGCGGACCUCAUAAAGUGCGUCGUAGUCCGGAUUGGAGUCUGCAACUCGACUCCAUGAAGUCGGAAUCGCUAGUAAUCGUAGAUCAGAAUGCUACGGUGAAUACGUUCCCGGGCCUUGUACACACCGCCCGUCACACCAUGGGAGUGGGUUGCAAAAGAAGUAGGUAG
rnacentral:rRNA from 1 species